rnacentral:lncRNA from 1 species
CAUUUAUUGCUUUUGAGACACGGCGGGACAUGUGAACCCCCCCCCCCCCCUUUCCACCCUGUUUUUUUUUUUACAAAUAUCACUAAAAUAUAAUUUUGAAUCAAACCAAAAAGUAUAAGGAUCUUUAGAUUAAUAUAACAAAGAAGUGUGUACAGUUUCAAGCAAUAAUCAUAAAUUGUUUUUGCGAUACGGCGCGACAUGUAAAAAAAAAUCUCCCCUUUUUUACAAAAUACUCAAUAACUCAAAAAUAAAAUUUUGAGUCAUCACCAAAAAGUAUACAGAUCUUUAGAUUAAUAUAACAAAGAAGUGUGUAAAGUUUUAAGCAAUAAUCAUAAAUCGUUUUUGAGAUACGGCACGACAUGUAUCUUUUGCUCUUUGCACGUUAAGAACCCUUGCAACAACUCUUUGAGGGGUCCGUAGGUGGCCUGUUGCAAGGCAAAAUUUUGGUCCCUAUCCAAUAUAUCCUCAUUUUCUAGUGGCAGUCCAAAUUUCCCCGACCAUCAUCCCAGAUGGCCUUUAUUGUAUCAACCUACCUUCUGUAUUUAUUGUGAACUUGUUCUCGUCCUGAAUAUGCAAGAAAUAUUUGCCACUGGACGUUAAGCAACCAACAAUCAAUCAAUCAAUAAAUCAUUUUUGAGAUACGGCGCAACAUGUAAAAAACCCUCCCCCUAUUUUACAAAAUACUCAAUAACUUAAAAAUGAAAUUUUGAAUCAUCACCAAAAAGUAUACAGAUAUUAAGAUUAAUAUAACUAAGAAGUGUUUAAAGUUCUAAGCAAUAAUCAAGAAUCGUUUUUGAGAUACGGUGCGACAUGUGAAAAAAAACCACACCCCUGUUUUAGUGACAAAGUGCCGUAACUCAAAAAGUUUAAAUCUUAUUUUCACCAAAAAGUAUACAGAUCAUUUGACCAUCAUAAAAAACAACUAUAUUAAGUUUCAUGAAAUUUAGAUAAGUCGUUCUCAAGUUACGGUGCGACAUGUUUACGCCGGACAGACAGACGGACGGACGGACGGACACCGGACAUUUGUAUAGCAUAAUACGUCCCGUCAAAAUUUUGACGGGCGUAUAAAAAUUAUUAAUAUACCGAUGGC